UGCCGGUCCCUCCAUAGCAGGUAUUUUUCCAUUCAUGCAUUUUGCUAAUAGUAUCUGGCUAUUACAAACAUUCGCAUGGACGUACCGCAAUCAGUCAUGAUAAUCUGGAAGUUUAUCAAGACCUAAUGAACUUUCUACAGAAUUGACUCCUUUAUUUGGAAGAAACAUACCCUGCAAUAUUUUUCAAUAUUUAUAGGUAUAAUCUGUACCAUAUGUACUUUAAACUUCUUGGCUCACUCAAGAAAAAGGGCCAUGCUCUGAUACCUGUUAAACACAAGAAUUACAUGAGGUAGUACCAAUGUUUCAUUUCUUGGUUGUGAAACUGCAGGGCCCUUAUCUGAAUCUGUGUAGGAGGAGGGAUUUGAGGGCAUUCUUCGGUGUGGUUGGUGCAAAUAAUCUCACAUCAGUUUUCUACUUCCCUUGCAGCAUUCUUGCUCCUUUUUUGUCCCAGGAUUGAUGUUUCUUGUUAAUGAUUUAGCUUCUGUUAAUUAGCAGCAAGUGGCAACUGAGGUGAUAUCUCACUCUUCUCCCUGCAACAAAAUCUGAGACUGGAGUGGUUUCUCACAUGUUGAGUAGAUUUGUCAGGUGUGAUGUGAUAACAUCAUGUGUUAAAAAAUCCGAGGAAAAAAGUACACAAGUUUAUUAGUCUGAGACUAGAGUGAUUUCUAAUGUUUCUAGAGUGCAAUUGUAGUUUGAGCGGAGGGUAAUUCAAGGUUUGGGUACAGG
rnacentral:lncRNA from 1 species